rnacentral:snRNA from 1 species
CUGCUCACUUUGGCAGCACAUAUACUAAAAUUAGAAUAAUACAGAGAAGAUUAGCAUGACCUCUGUGCAAGGAUGACACGCAAAUACAUGAAGUAUUUCAUAUUUUU